GACGAACGCUGGCGGCGUGCCUAAUACAUGCAAGUCGAGCGGACGAAUCGAAAGCUUGCUUUUGAUUCGUUAGCGGCGGACGGGUGAGUAACACGUGGGCAACCUGCCCUGUAGACGGGGAUAACACCGAGAAAUCGGUGCUAAUACCGGAUAACACGAAAUGUCGCAUGACGUUUCGUUGAAAGACGGCGCAAGCUGUCGCUACAGGAUGGGCCCGCGGCGCAUUAGCUAGUUGGUGAGGUAACGGCUCACCAAGGCGACGAUGCGUAGCCGACCUGAGAGGGGGACCGGCACACUGGGGACUGAGACCCGGCCAAGACUCCUAGGGGAGGCAGAAGGAAGGAAUCUUCCGAAAGGGAGGAAAGUUUGAGGGAGCAACGCCGGGGGGGGGAAGAAGGCCUUCGGGUCGAAAAGCUCUGUUGUUGGGGAAGAAAAAGUAACGCAGUAACUGGCGUUACCGUGACGGUACCAAACGAAAAAGCCACGGCCAACUACGG
rnacentral:rRNA from 1 species